GACGAACGCUGGCGGCGUGCUUAACACAUGCAAGUCGAACGGAAAGGCCCUGCUUUUGUGGGGUGCUCGAGUGGCGAACGGGUGAGUAACACGUGAGUAACCUGCCCUUGACUUUGGGAUAACUUCAGGAAACUGGGGCUAAUACCGGAUAGGAGCUCCUGCUGCAUGGUGGGGGUUGGAAAGUUUCGGCGGUUGGGGAUGGACUCGCGGCUUAUCAGCUUGUUGGUGGGGUAGUGGCUUACCAAGGCUUUGACGGGUAGCCGGCCUGAGAGGGUGACCGGCCACAUUGGGACUGAGAUACGGCCCAGACUCCUACGGGAGGCAGCAGUGGGGAAUAUUGCACAAUGGGCGGAAGCCUGAUGCAGCAACGCCGCGUGCGGGAAGACGGCCUUCGGGUUGGAAACCGCUUUCGCCUGUGACGAAGCGGGAGUGACGGUAAUGGGUAAAGAAGCACCGGCUAACUACGUG
rnacentral:rRNA from 1 species